CCUACGGGAGGCAGCAGUGGGGAAUAUUGCACAAUGGGGGGAACCCUGAUGCAGCAACGCCGCGUGGGUGAAGAAGUACUCCGGUAUGUAAAGCCCUGUCAGCAGGGAAGAAAAUGACGGUACCUGACCAAGAAGCCCCGGCUAACUACGUGCCAGCAGCCGCGGUAAUACGUAGGGGGCAAGCGUUAUCCGGAUUUACUGGGUGUAAAGGGAGCGUAGACGGCAAGGCAAGUCUGGAGUGAAAGCCCGGGGCCCAACCACGGGACUGCUUUGGAAACUGCGUUGCUGGAGUGCAGGAGGGGCAAGCGGAAUUCCUAGUGUAGCGGUGAAAUGCGUAGAUAUUAGGAGGAACACCGGUGGCGAAGGCGGCUUACUGGACUGCAACUGACGUUGAGGCUCGAAGGCGUGGGGAGCAAACAGGAUUAGAUACCCCUGUAGUC
rnacentral:rRNA from 1 species